CAAUAGCGUAUAUUAAAGUUGUUGCGGUUAAAAAGCUCGUAGUUGGAUUUCUGUUGGGAACGACCGGUCCGCCCAUUGGGUGUGUAUCUGGCUUGUUCUCGGCAUCUUCUUGGUGAACGUUGCUGCACUUGACUGUGUGGAGCGCUACCCAGGACUUUUACUUUGAGGAAAUUAGAGUGUUUCAAGCAGGCAUAUGCCUUGAAUACAUUAGCAUGGAAUAAUAAGAUAGGACCUCGGUUCUAUUUUGUUGGUUUCUAGAGCUGAGGUAAUGAUUAAUAGGGAUAGUUGGGGGCAUUCGUAUUUAACUGUCGGAGGUGAAAUUCUUGGAUUUGUUAAAGACGGACUACUGCGAAAGCAUUUGCCAAGGAUGUUUNCAUUG
rnacentral:rRNA from 1 species